AUGUGGAAAGUUUUAUUAUGUUACAUAAUUUAUAUUACAUAAACAUAACUCGAGAGAAAUAUGAAUUAUAAAGUAACAUUCUCGUUUGCAAAAGUAUUUUUGAUAAUUUAUAUAGUAAAAGAGCGUGACUUUUCGAGAUCAAAAAUGCAAUUUGAUAUAACACGUAAACGCGUGAAACAUUACUUCUCAGAUGGCUUAGACAUCUUAUUGUCUGUCAAGCCUUUCAUUUAUGUUUCGAAGCUCGAGAUCCCAAAGCUCGAAAUCAGAGAACAAUAGGUCUUUGACAAAGCUCGCGAGUUUUGGGAACAUCUCGACAGCAAGUUUGUGCCAGCUAUGAACUGAAAGUGAACGUGAUAGUCUGUACAAUCCUUAAAGUACUUUGAAACAUACAUGCAUAUUAAGCUACAAUAGAAAUCUAUAUCUGUGCCCUUGCUAGAUUCUACGUUAAAUUAAACUUUCUUUCCUUUAAUUUUGUGAUCGGGAAAUCACGUGAUUUCAAUAAUACAAUCGACAGAGUUUUAUUAGUCAUAGUCGACAUAAAAAAGUUCCUUCUGAGGACUAAAAAUCUAUGAAACAACAUACUUUAUCUUGAUUUGCAAUAAAAUUCUUUCAACACAUCAUAUAUUGUAAUUAUAUUACAAAAAAGUAUGUAAAAAUAAUUCUCUUUUGCUACUUCAAUUGCAAAUUUCUCUAAAUUGUGACAUAAAGCAAUUUGGAGAAAUCAGAUACGUAUUCAGCGUUUAAAAAAAUAUCAAUAUAAUUAAUAAUUAAAAUUAUUUUUUUUUAAUUAUAAAAAAUACUCAUUUUGUUGUUUGAAAAAAAUCACUUUUUAAUGAACUGUGUAAUCGAUUGAUCAAAUGAUGAUUAAUUUUAUAAUAACCACACACAAACCACAGUAUAUGUAUUUUUUCUAGUAACUGCUUAAACUUUAAACUUAUAAAUCUUCUUUAGUUCGUUUUUCUCAAGAACCUUCAUAAUAAUGUUUAAUUUCACUAAAAUUAUUGAGAGCACGCAACUACGAGAAGAUUAAAGCAGCAAAUUAUAGCUUUCAUACCGUGCCAGCGUGAACCAGCAUUUCGCUUGGUGUUUUCGAUUACGAAGCAACAUGAUCGUACAUUUUUCGAAAUAGGAUAAUUUUGGAGCACCCUCUCGAGUCGCAGAACGCGCGAGGGUCGCUCGUAACGCAAGCGACAAGGGAGUGAAAACGAAGAGGGUAGGCCAACAGUCCUAUCUGCAAUUGCAAUCGAUAGUAAACCCGCCCUGAAGUCUCCAACGUCGGCUACGAUAUUUAAAUGUCAGGCACAUAACACGCGUUCGCCACCUCUCCAAAGGAUAGGGUACCCUAACAUUUAUACUUCACCUCCACAUUUGUACUCUAGUCACCGUGUGAAGCCAACCCUCCUUUUUUUCUCUUACUUCUCUCUCUCUUUUUCUCUUACUUUUUCUCUUCGCUUUCUGUCAAUCUUGUAGGCAUACACAGAGAAUGAGAAAAAAGGCGGAAGGAAGGACGGAAAGUGGGCGAAAACGGGAGUCAGGAAGGGGGAAAAAGGGCGAUGUUAUUAAACUCAAGGGUUUUUGACUUUCGGCGUAGUGAGUAAACAUACAGCUCGAUCUCAAGCCGUUACACGCCAACGUGAGUGUCGUUGGCAGUGAUAGUGGUCAUGGUGACAUCGGUCAUUCUGUAUUCUGCGGAACCGACGGAUAUUCCGGCACCAAACUAUAGGCACCAAACGGACCAGACCCAAUUUUCCCAGGUGGUCAUCGAGAGACUGGUGGACUCCCUUUGUGUCGACGCGCGCGAGAAAAUCGUCGACGGUGAAAUCUUUGUUCGACGACAGCGGACGUUAUUAAUCUGAGAAUGGCUACUUUCGUGGGUCGAAUGGCUUCAUCCCUCGAAUCUUGCGCGCCAUUGAAGGCACAAUAUCGCCAAUGGCGAUGCAACUGAAACGAAACCUUUGGAUUCACAUGGAACGUGCGUAUGUGCGCUUACGUUACAUAAUCCUUUUGAGCAAAGUGGUCAAAUCGUGAUUGCGAGGUAAACAGAUACACCUACACACAUAUUUGUUGUUUUCCUAGCAAACUGAUUUCCUAGCAUUAGUUUCGCUAUUAUAAAUUGUAUUCCCUUAAGAAAACUCUUUUGUACUGAAAAAAAUUGUACUAUUGUGUGCUCUUUAAUAAUAAAUAUUUCAUAUAAUUAUAGAAGGAAAAAUCGAAUGUAUUUUAAAACACUCAAUUUUUUUCGAAAAAUGUACAAUAAAUUUAUGUUAGACACACAUUUGUUUUUAUUAUAUUCCAAGUUAUAUUCCUAUUUUCCUGCUCUCUUGGCACUAACGUUUCAACUAGAGUGGUGGUCGAAACAUUAGUUCAAAAGUGCGAACAUUCGCAACGAAAAGUUUCUGUAGAACUGGAAAGAAUGACACGAGUAUCUCGGUAAUUCGAUCAGAUGGCGAAUGCACGUAGAGCACGAAAUUUUCGACUUUACGCUAAUAGAAGAGAUAAACAGACCGCCGUCGUACCUGGCAUUAGAUAUUCCAGGAAGCUGAGAGGAGGAACAAAGAGAGAGAGCAAAAGGGAGCCACCCAAUUUUCGUCGAGACUCGAAUAUCCCUUCACGUCACGACGUGCGAAACCUUAACGUUAAGAUCUUUUUAGAGGCGCUAACGUUAUUAAUCCGGGAAUGGUACGGUUAUAUCCGGCACACCCUCGCGACUCUCCGGAAUGUCGGAGGGUGACUCGGUCUCUCGCGGUAGUGGAGAGAAAUAAAUGACGUCACGCCUCGGGAAAAGUACUUCCCUGUGGUCUGCUAUUCGACGACGAAGUUCGAGACAAAGAAGAAGAAGAGAAGAAGAAGAAGAAGCCGCCGUUCGUGCCAAAUGCCGUUGCUGCCGGCUGAACACCCGUCGAAGCUCGUAAGUCCGGGCAUAAUUGGAUCCCGUAUUUCUAAUAAAGAGUUAAACGACAUUUUUCGAUAAAGAAAUUGAACUGCGUGUAUUAAAUUGAAAGUGGAAACGCGAAAAAAUAUAAUUAAACGGUGUUUCUUUAAGUGUCGUCAAUGUCAAUAGAUUAAUUUCUGUAAAAAAAACCUCUUAUUACAAGAGUAAUAAUAUUUAAAAAAGAACAUCUAAAUACUUCAUUAAAUGGAUUGUGUUAUUGUGAGUUUUUCAUUGUUAUGAAUUUUUAAACGACAAAGCACUUUUAAGUAUAAAAUUAAGAUGACCUAUUUCGAUUUGCAGCGGAUCUUGGUGCUGCAAUCUUAAAAUUACUAAGUGGAUGUUCGAAAGCAUCAUUAAAAUUCCCCCCCUUUCCGAAAAACAUGUAAAUAAUUUAUCGCGAAAUAUAAUACAUCAGCCAGGAUUCGAACCUGACUCUCCCGUCAUUCCGUGACUUUUAUAUAUGAUAUACCGCUCAAUGUGCCUUCAUUUUAGAAUAGAAUUCGUGCCGAUUCGUAUCCCUUGCCGUAAUGGAACACGAUUACAGCAGAGAUAGUCAUAAUUGAAAACGUCCGUUCUUUAUUGAGCGGACGCGCGCAUGUCGACGUGACCCGAAAGUGAGCCAAUGUCCUCGCGACAAGCGAAGCCAGAUAGGUAGAAGUUUAUGACUAAUUCCGCAUAAUUUAUGACGAGCGUAGCAGAUAGUAUUGAAUAGGCCACAGUCACGCGCUCGCUUCGUCAACGCUCGGUUCGUUUCCGUUAUUAAGAAAGUCGUACAAAGAGAACAACACGUUUCUCCUCUCGUGGUAGCGCAUUAAAUCUUUUUUUAUUAACAACAGAAUCGGAAGUUAUUGAUGCGCCAAUGGCUGUCGAUAAGCGUUCAAAUUUCGCAGAUAUAUAAAUGUGGUAGAAAUUCAUGUCUAACGAAGAGAUGAAAAAUUAAUAAAAGGCUGAUUAAUAAUUUUUAUGUAAAAAACAAAGAUAAAGGUCUUGGGUAAAAAUUUUUCAGACAGCGUAUGUUACGCUCAUCCGUGAACAACAUACGUCCAUCACGAAAUAUACACCCCCGAGAUGUUUAGCAUGAUCUAUUGAAUACCCUUCCUAAUAUAUGCCCUCUUUGUAGAGAAAAUAGCGAAAAAUCCGUGACUCGAUGGAAACUUCGACUGACGAGUAAGUUCCGCCAUGCAAGCUCCUUUUGCUCCGAAUACCCGCUCGAAAGAGCGACACAGACCGCGCGAGUCUUUUUUACCAGCGUUCACGAAGUGAUUUAUAGUCGGCUAGUUUUUCCCUAUUUCCUACAAAAUGACAAGGGAGCUAAUUAACUCCGCUAUUGUUGGCCCCCUCCAACCCCGAUCCUUCAGGCCACCCGUUCGCGGGAGUCGCAAAACUAUUAUUACUCACGCCAUGUUACUUCGCGGUAAUUAACGAACAUGGCUGGAAUAUCCGACGGUAGAGGGACAGAAUUCGCUUUCGCUGACUGCCGCGCAACUUUCGACCUUGCUGUCUCUCGCUGAGCGCCUCCCAUUCAAACGGGAUGACACCGUGCAAUGCGACGCUCUGUCAGCCGGAAAAAGAAUUUAGCUCUUCCGGAAAAGCGUGAUCGAGCGUGUUGCGCGCAACACAAAUUUCGAGAGUGAUUAACUUACUUUUCGUCGAGUCACCGUCAUACCGAUAGCUUUCGGAGGAAACUGGAGGAAGAAUGUAUGCAAAUGUGCUUACCUGAAACAGAGAAAAAGAAUUUCACAGAAGCAUCAAUUGUUUGUGAACUUUUAUAAACGCAAAAAUUCGUCGAGGAGCCAAACUGGAAACAAAAACAUCCACUCAAAGCCAAAAUCAACAACGCCGAAGUUAAAACAAAUGGGGAUAUGGCUGUAGAUGAACGGCGGGAAUUUUCGUGUAACGCGAAGUAAACUUGUGAAUAAUUAAUUAGUAAUACGAGAUGGAGGUUGCUAAGGGCCGGUUGGCUCGGACCAUCCUUUCUGGGCCGCCUCGACAGCCACGGUGCUCAGGUUUGAAAUUGGAGUCCCCUUCAGCCAUGGGGACCUCCCGUUCCCCGAGCCUGUCUUCGAAUGAGGCACGCGAGGCGACGUCGGCCACGUACCCUCGCUCACCUCAUUAUGCUAAUUAUUUAAAUCCCCCAACGCCACAUUAUGUUAAGCCCCGGCGCACUUGGCAACGUGUCCUGCGUAUGUGUAUAAAUCAUCGUUAUAUCCCGUAGCUCGUUAAGAAAGUAAAGAGGUUGCAGCGUAUCCAACAGUAAUAUUAUUCGAUGAAACGUAAUUAAUAUGUGAAUAUCUCGUUAAACAUAUCAGUUUGCUUCUGACUACCUAUUAUCUAUUAUACUGCACGAUUUUAUGAAGUUGGAGCGAUAUUAAUAAGCGUGACUCUUAAAGCAUUGUUGGUGGCAUAAUAAUUACAUUUAACCAAUUUUUUUUACAAAUUAAAUGUAUAAAUUUAAUUAAAACAUAAUUAAAAGUAAGCUUAUGUAUAUGAUCACUAAAAUCAUUAACAGUUAAAGAGAAUAAUAGGGGAGACAUAUAAAAGUGAAUUGAGAGAAGAUGUCACACUUUUUUUCGAAUAACUUUAUCGUGUUAUGAGGAAUUAAAAAAUUAAUAUUCUUGAAACCUUUAUUUAUUUAUAUAAAUAAAACAAAUAAAACUUUUAUAUGCCAUAUUUUGGGGGGAGAAAAUAUUAAGUUUUACAAAACUUGCAUCUUUUAGAAUCUUCUCCAAUGUAUAUAAUUAAAAUCAUCUUAAAUGAAGGUGUCUGGCUCGAAAAAAUAUCGUUUGUAUGGAGUAACAUUUUACCCCCGGAGAUGUCAUUGCAGCUUCCACACAUAUAAUGAUUUUACAAAGUUAUUCAAACUUACAUUCUACAGUAAAAUUGCAAAAAUUAUAAAUCAAAUAAAUUUCUGACUAAAUCAUAUACGCGCAAAGCUCCCGAGAUGACAGAAAAUCGCAAAACUAGAGAAACUUUGAAAAUGUCACUGCUCGAAUGUUUAUCGGCUAAGUAAGCAAACAAGACGUGGGAGGAGAAAAAUACGUUCGCCGAACGUAGUCGCGAGCUCGCGCUAUAUCGAGCACGCGAUAUAUCGAGGCGAAACGUGAGAGAGAUACACGCCGAGAGGGUCAGCCCACCCACGACCUUAGUUUCACAUGCCCGGCGCAUUUCGGAAAACUCGAGUUCAGCCAGGCUUAUAGUUGAAGUUUGAUACGACGUUGACGGUGUGCGCGUUUAGUGAAACGGGUGGGAGUCCUGGCGCGGCAUGAAUAAAACAUUUUUAGGGUCGUAAACCGUUUCCUGCGUUUUUUAAAGGGUCGCCUCACCUCUGGCAUCGACUCGUGCCAGUGGCUCCUGGAGGCGCGGGCUCAUGGCCAUUAGUGCGACGGGCGAAACGAAUGUCGCGAUGGAAAUUAUGCACGCGAGACGCGAUACGCGAAUUGCAUCGCGUUUGAAUACCCAAGUGACAUCGACUUAACGAUCCGUUGCUCCCUGACAACUCAACCAACACGCCGUUGAUGACUGUCAAUACGAGACAAGAUAUUCGAUGUCUUCAACCGUGCGAUCACAGAGUUAUCAGGGAUUUCACCCUUCCCAAAAUAUCUCCCCGUGAUAAUAACAAAACUCGAAUUUAGAAGAAAAACCUCCAACCUAACAAUACUGUAUUGAUGAUACGACAGUUUAUAACUUAAGCGUACAGCUAUAAAAGACAUUUUGAACAAACGGUAGUUAUUCCCAACCACGCUCAUUUAUGCGUCUAUUAUCGGGACUGACAAUAUUAAGCGUCUUGCACACGCUCGUAAAACAGAUACGAAAGCAUGUUUUCCAAAGGACUAAUCCGCUUAUGGUGUCUUGAAUUGCAAAUGAUACGCUCGAGCGCAAACCGGGCCGAUAGCGCAUAGUUCAAUGGCGCGUGUAAUAUGUCGCUAUAUCGUUUCCACGUAUCUGAUGCAAAGUUUUAGGGGAAACUCGAAACGCGGAGUUAUAUCGAGAAUCAUGAUGGCGCGUGCGCGUUCGCGACGCGCGACGUUGCAGCUGCGGGGAAACAUGAUGAAUCAAGCUAAAUAACACCGGGCGAGGCACCUGUUUGUCUACGUUGCAGUUUCAAAGCUCCUGCUCCACUGCCACUUGCACGAAAUUGAUCGUAAAACAUUAUUAUAUGGUCUACUAAAAUAUGAUAUUUUAGUAGAAGCAGCCCCUUUAAUCCGCCGCGAUAAUCUUAAAUUAGUGGGCUGGAUUUAAAUUUUGCCAGCAUAAGCAGACGAGCGUCUCAACGUCGGAAAUUAUGUCGAUCGUAUUGUUGUCAUUUGUCGAGAUAAUCGGGAUUAAAUUUCAUCGUAUUAUCACAUGCGUGAAUCACCUUUUGUUUCUCUUUAGUUUAAUUCAACUCGCCGAUGGGACACUUCAAGUCUCUACCGUUUCAAUUUAUCUGCAUGAAUGUGGACUAGUUUAUUAAAAUGUGCCCCGUAUUUUUCUCCAAGACUAUAUUAGGCCGUCACGCAUCUGCGAUUUUCUUUAGUUAAACUUUUUUAAUUAUCCGCCCCUCUUAGUCACCCACGAUCUCUUACCUAAUUACUGGGGAAAUCUCAGCUGUGCGCCGCGCGAGGGUAGCUGAACGAAGAAAGGAAAGAACAAUCCCGACGGGAGUAUUUAUCGAGACCGAUCGCUCCCGUUUCCGUCGUCGAUCAUUUCCCGCGCGUUAUCACGGCCGCGCGGUUCCAUCUCGAAGUUCGCCAGCAACAGCAAUACGCAAACUUGCGGUGGAAAUUAUGCCUGGCCGCCCGCAGCUGCCGCGAAAGAAGACGAAUCAAACUUAAUUUCGUCCGGACAUCUGACUACUAGUAGCCGUAGAACGCCUAUAGCUGAUAGUGAAACAUCAUUUCGCAAUUUUGUUUAAUUAAAAUCUGAUUCAAAGUUCGCGAAGAACAGCCAUCGCACCGCGCCCGUUGGAUGGUACCCCCGUUACACCGGCUGCGGUUAAUGCAUCAGUAAAAGAGUACGAUUCUGUUUCUUCGUUCUUCCGUCUGUUUCGUUCUAUCGUGCUUUCUUCCUCUCCUAUCGUCCCUACCUUUCCUCGUUACGGAAGGUAAAUGAUAGCUCGACGAAGACGGCGGAGUUUAGUUUGUACUCGCAAUAACAAGUGAUGAUAUUAUAUUCGAUCUUCAAUAUAAGUCGUUACAAUUCUGGCGAGAGUUUGUUGAAAUGAUGCAUUGUGAUAGAGCGCAAUAUUCAAGAACACGAAUAAUUGCUAUCUUUCCUUGAAUAAACUCUAUUAAUUUAAUUACUAUAUUGAUUUUGUCUUUUUUUUGUUACUCGAUUCCUAAUAAAGUGUUAAAUCUAACUUUGUUUUAUUGUUUCCAUUAAUAAAUACUCUUAAUGACUCUUGUACGUUUUUCUUCUUAUUCAAUACAUAAUAAAGAGAAUGAGAAAGGUACAAUUAAUUAAAUUUUUUCAUAUUAAUUGACUUGCGGAAAAUAAGAUGCCUGAUAUAUCUAAAUGUGUAGGAAGAACUAUUUUUCAAAUAUAUUAAAAAAGUAAUUUUUUAAUUAUACUAUUAAAAUAUAAUAUAUACCUCCAUCACAAAUUUUCUCUAACAAGUCAAUGUUAGUCUAAAAAUUAAAUUACUAACAUCCCGAUUUUUCAAAUAUUCAUUGCAAAUAUUCAUUGAGAAGUUUGCGUGAGAAACAGAGAGAAGUUACACAUUUUUAUUAAAUUAAAUGUAAUACUCAAUGUUCUUGUUAAAAAGUAUUUUAAUUAUAUAAUUCUCAAGGUUGAAAAAUAUAGAAGUAAAAUAAUGCAACUAUAAAAGAUCGAUUUUCCUUCUAAUCUUUGUACAUGCGCUUAAUACGGCUUGAUCACUUGUACUUCUUUACUCAAGCCCUUAAGUUCAAAAAGGAUCCAUGGAAUUUCUUGAAAUUGAAUAGUUGAAUGUAAGAAGUUCUUAAUAGAGCUACCGUACGAGAGCCAUCCGCGAUACAGACGACUUCUAAGACCGUAACUAUAAUACGACGAAGCCCUAUGAUAUACCUUGAGAUGACGUCCCGCAUUACCAAUAAUACUACAAACACGCCUCCCUUAAGAGAUGUCCUAAAAGUCUCGUGCAAUAAAAGCCGGUAACCCAUAAAAUAUCGCCUCCGCCGCCUCCUUCUUCAUCCCCUUCUCACACCGCCUACCGCCCCGUCGGUUAUCCAUCUGUGGUCCCCGGCCGGAUGAGACGUAGGUACAUAAAGUGGGUACUCCGACGGAUUGAAAUAUAACCCCGAAUAUUUCUUUACGCCGGCGUCCGAUACGUAUACUCACGAUAUGAUACUUCCUUACGAUUACACUCUGACUUUCAUGUCGAACUCCGCGUCGACGUUUGACGUAAUACGGUCGCUACGUUGCGUUACUUCGCGGAGGGGAAGGAGAGGGUUAUUAAAAAGCUAUGUGUGUCAUAACGCAUCUACCAUCGACUCGCGUAUGGUACAUCGGGGAACUGCGAAUUAAUAUUAAUAUGACCGAGGUGCCAAUCCGAUGGGGAAUCGAAAAAAGUGGCCUGUGAAAUUUUGAGAUUCCAUCUCGACGAGCUUGAAGCGAGGGAAAAUUGCAAUUCUCGCUUUUGUCGAGUUCCAUAUGAAGCGCGGAAUUAAAAUUGCCGGUGAACUGCCGCAUUGCGAUUAGAAUUAUUAAUUAAUUUAAGUGAGAUUUCAUAUCGACUCAUUGCAAAACCGUACGCGUGGAGAAUAUUUAUACACAUCACAUAAUUCGUCUCCUUUAAUGGUAUUUUCCGUCAAUCGGAAAUCUACCGAAAUAUUUUGUGUGAUGUGUAUGAAGCGAAAAAUUAAAUUAUUGAAAACAGAAAUAAAUGUUUGCAAUCAUAUCCAAAGCAAAUUAUAUACAAUAACUAUUGUUUAUUAACUAUUGUUCGUAUUAUUGAAAGUUUUCACGAUCCAUAUAACAAAGAUAAUAUAAUAAAGAUUUCUUUUGGUAGUUAACAUGCAUAUUUUCGCACAUGUACGUUAAAUAUUCUAUCCUGGGGCGAUGGUUUCCAUGGAAAGGGGGCGUAUAAUGCGUUCUAUGAACGCGAUUUACAAGCGGCAUAUAAGAGUGAGCGGAUGGGGUUCGGCUACGAUUACGAAGGGCAAGUCCACCUGGGUAUUGCGGCAAUAAUCGUAUAACAAAGAGCGGGGGAGCUCGAGUAGAGGGUCACCUGAUGGUCCUUCCGGGUUGAGUAUGGGUGUGGUUUGUUAGCGGCCAAGUUUUUUGACGUGUGAAGAUGAAAGUGCUAGAGGGACGAGAUCGCGCGUCCGCUAUACACGAAAUUUACGUCACGAGAAAAAAAAUGGUCACAUCGAAUUUCGUAAAAUCAAAAGUUUAAAUGUUAAAUUUAUAACGUAAAAACUUAUAUACUUUUAUAUAAAUAAUAAAAAGCAUCC